GACUUCUGGUUUAAUGCACCUGGCCCGCAGCCGUAAGGCUUGUGAGUGCCGGCGCGCGUUUACCAUCCUUCUAGAAAACGGAUCUUCCCUUAACUGGGCCGGAUUCGGGAUCUAGAUCAUUUACUUUGAAAAAAUUAGAGUGUUUAAAGCAGGCUAUUGCUAUGAAUACAUUAGCAUGGAAUAAUAAUCUAGGACUUCGGUUCUAUUUUGUUGGUUUCUAUGACUGAAGUAAUGAUUGAUAGGGAUAGUUGGGGGUGCUAGUAUUGGCCGGUCAGAGGUGAAAUUCUUGGAUUCGGUCAAGACUAACUUAUGCGAAAGCAUU
rnacentral:rRNA from 1 species